rnacentral:rRNA from 1 species
GAUGAACGCUGGCGGCGUGCCUAAUACAUGCAAGUCGGGCGAACGGACGAGAAGCUUGCUUCUCUGAUGUUAGCGGCGGACGGGUGAGUAACACGUGGAUAACCUACCUAUAAGACUGGGAUAACUUCGGGAAACCGGAGCUAAUACCGGAUAAUAUUUUGAACCGCAUGGUUCAAAAGUGAAAGACGGUCUUGCUGUCACUUAUAGAUGGAUCCGCGCUGCAUUAGCUAGUUGGUAAGGUAACGGCUUACCAAGGCAACGAUGCAUAGCCGACCUGAGAGGGUGAUCGGCCACACUGGAACUGAGACACGGUCCAGACUCCUACGGGAGGCAGCAGUUGGGAAUCUUCCGCAAUGGGCGAAAGCCUGACGGAGCAACGCCGCGUGAGUGAUGAAGGUCUUCGGAUCGUAAAACUCUGUUAUUAGGGAAGAACAUAUGUGUAAGUAACUGUGCACAUCUUGACGGUACCUAAUCAGAAAGCCACGGCUAACUACGUG